GAGUGGCGUACGGGUGCGUAACGCGUACACAACCUGCCUUAUACUGGAGCAUAGCCUUGGGAAACUAAGAUUAACUCUCCAUAACAUUGCAGCAUGGCAUCAUGCAGCAAUUAAAACUCCGGUGGUAUAAGAUGGGUGUGCGUCUGAUUAGGUAGUUGGUGAGGUAACGGCUCACCAAGCCGACGAUCAGUAGCUGGUCUGAGAGGACGAUCAGCCACACGGGCACUGAGACACGGGCCCGACUCCUACGGGAGGCAGCAGUAGGGAAUAUUGGACAAUGGACGAAAGUCUGAUCCAGCCAUCCCGCGUGAAGGAUUAAGGCCCUCUGGGUUGUAAACUUCUUUUCUUUGGGAAUAAAAAGCGGUAUUCUUAUCGCCUUGAAGGUACCAGAGGAAUAAGCACCGGCUAACUCCGUGCCAGCAGCCGCGGUAAUACGGAGGGUGCAAGCGUUAUCCGGAUUCACUGGGUUUAAAGGGUGCGUAGGUGGCUUGAUAAGUCAGCGGUGAAAGCCUGGAGCUCAACUCCAGAAUUGCCAUUGAUACUGUCGAGCUUGAAUCAAGUUGAGGUGGAUGGAAUAUUACAUGUAGCGGUGAAAUGCUUAGAUAUGUAAUAGAACACCGAUUGCGAAGGCAGUUCACUAAGCUUGUAU
rnacentral:rRNA from 1 species